UUGUAAGUAUUUAUUACACAAAAUUUGUACACACAUACACUCUGUCUUUAGAGAUAGUCUGAACAAUCAUUUACUAAGGAGACACUUGUUCUUUACCUCUAAAUUGUCAAUCCCCAGACCUCCCUGGUCCUUGGUCUACAUAUAAUAUCCCACCUAGUAAGUCCGUAUUUCCUCUUAACUUCAUCACUCUACCAGUAAAAGA
rnacentral:lncRNA from 1 species